GAUGAACGCUGGCGGCGUGCCUAAUACAUGCAAGUCGAGCGAACAGACGAGGAGCUUGCUCCUCUGACGUUAGCGGCGGACGGGUGAGUAACACGUGGAUAACCUACCUAUACGACUGGGAUAACUUCGGGAAACCGGAGCUAAUACCGGAUAAUAUAUUGAACCGCAUGGUUCAAUAGUGAAAGACGGUUUUGCUGUCACUUAUAGAUGGAUCCGCGCCGCAUUAGCUAGUUGGUAAGGUAACGGCUUACCAAGGCGACGAUGCGUAGCCGACCUGAGAGGGUGAUCGGCCACACUGGAACUGAGACACGGUCCAGACUCCUACGGGAGGCAGCAGUAGGGAAUCUUCCGCAAAGGGCGAAAGCCUGACGGAGCAACGCCGCGUGAGUGAUGAAGGUCUUCGGAUCGUAAAACUCUGUUAUUAGGGAAGAACAAAUGUGUAAGUAACUAUGCACGUCUUGACGGUACCUAAUCAGAAAGCCACGGCUAACUACGUG
rnacentral:rRNA from 1 species